rnacentral:lncRNA from 1 species
CCGAAUAUCUCGCCUAUACAAUGCCCGAAAAAAUACAGACGUGGGCACGAGAGCGAAUGGCAUGCCAUUCCAUUACUGUGUGUGGUUGUUACAGUGGGCUCCAGACUCACAAAGAGUAGAGCCAACGGGCCAGGUACUGGCCGUGCACUGCCGAGACGAACAGGACAAACAAGACACCCAUCCAGACCACAAGUCACCUAGACACACUACUGGGGUAAGCUGGCAGCCGUUUCCCAACUUCCCUUCCACCGCGUAUAGCAGCAUGUACCCACAUGCAGAGCUCAAAAUUGUGUAAGGGCACGCAUCAUUAGCAUUUCAAUUUCUGCCCCAAUAAACCCACCUGGCACAUCCUAACAUACCUAGGGACUUAACGGCGGCAGGCCCAACGGGGCCACCAC